rnacentral:rRNA from 1 species
GUGGGGAAUCUUCCGCAAUGGACGAAAGUCUGACGGAGCAACGCCGCGUGAGUGAUGAAGGUCUUCGGAUUGUAAAGCUCUGUUAAUCUGGACGAAAGAGCCUAGUGUGAAUAAUGCUAGGAAGUGACGGUACCGGAAUAGAAAGCCACGGCUAACUACGUGCCAGCAGCCGCGGUAAUACGUAGGUGGCAAGCGUUGUCCGGAAUUAUUGGGCGUAAAGCGCGCGCAGGCGGAUCUGCCAGUCUGUCUUAAAAGUUCGGGGCUUAACCCCGUGAUGGGAUGGAAACUACAGAUCUAGAGUAUCGGAGAGGAAAGUGGAAUUCCUAGUGUAGCGGUGAAAUGCGUAGAUAUUAGGAAGAACACCAGUGGCGAAGGCGACUUUCUGGACGAAAACUGACGCUGAGGCGCGAAAGCCAGGGGAGCGAACGGGAUUAGAAACCCGAGUAGUCC